rnacentral:rRNA from 1 species
CGUAGGGUGCGAGCGUUAAUCGGAAUUACUGGGCGUAAAGUGUGCGCAGGUGGCCGCGCAAGUCGAGUGUGAAAUCCCCGAGCUCAACUUGGGAAUUGCGCUCGAAACUACGUGGCUCGAGUGUGGCAGAGGAAGGUGGAAUUCCAGGUGUAGCGGUGAAAUGCGUAGAGAUCUGGAGGAACACCGAUGGCGAAGGCAGCCUUCUGGGCCAACACUGACGCUCAUGCACGAAAGCGUGGGGAGCAAACAGGAUUAGAUACCCUGGUAGUCCACGCCCUAAACGAUGAUGACUAGUUGUUGGGGGAGUUAAAUCCCUUAGUAACGCAGCUAACGCAUAAAGUCAUCCGCCUGGGGAGUACGGUCGCAAGAUUA